rnacentral:lncRNA from 1 species
AUGGCAUUUCCAUCACUGCUCAUUUUCCAUGGAAGCUAUUCCAAUACCACAGUGAUGGAUGCCAAAAAGAGCCCCCUGCAUUUGACGACAAAUAGUAAACAUCCCAGGUGUUCAUGCAGGUCCCUUGAGAUGCUACUGCCUGUUUUAUCCUUGUCAUGCACAAUUUGCCCUGGUUUCCCACAAAACCACCUCUCUUCCACAGGCAGCCCAGGUGCUGUGUGGCCCAAGACCACUCUCCGUGGUGCCAUCUGCAGGAGGAGGAAAAUUUCCUUGUUGGAACAUCUUGAGAAAAGGACAACUGGUAUGAAAAUCUCUUUUGGAAAAUCUCCCCGCCUGUGAUAUGAACAGUUUCAGAGGUGGGUAAUGGUAGUGUAGGUAAUGACUGUAAUGAAGUCUUUUGAGACUUUUCUUUUUUCUUCCCUUAAAAAUGAGAAUUUGAAAUAAAACUCAUAAACUGAAACCUUCUGUUCUUGUU